GGGGCCGACCUGGUUUCGACGUGGGUAGCGAAGCGGCACAGGGCAUGCCGAGGCGCCUUUUCCUCGUAAAUCCAUUGGCAAAACCACAAACGCCAACGACGAGCGUUUCGCACUGGCCGCUUAAGGCCUGAGCCGCUGCACCGGGUCGCCGACAGCCCGGGUUCCGCAAGGAACAGCAGCGUCAUUCAUGUCGGCUCGUGCCGCAUCGGGCUACUUGAUGCGGAGCUAAAACCAAGGUAGCUGGGUGCAGGUCGGCCUGUCGACCGGCUAAGCCUGCAUCGAGAUCCAAAUCGAUCGACUAAGCAUGUAGAACUGGUCGUAGAGGACUUGCGGACGCGGGUUCGAUUCCCGCCGGCUCCACCA
rfam:Burkholderiales bacterium 70-64 SCNpilot_expt_1000_bf_scaffold_947, whole genome shotgun sequence.